CUUCUGUGAGCCCAGGACACGGGUAAGAUCUUUAUUUCAUUUCUGCUUUGUAACGCAAUAAUCUCUCUGGUCCGAUACCUGUAUACCUGUUUGCCAUACAAUUCUCAUCAUGCUAAAAUUUUCUAAGUUUGGCCUUAGCAAAUUUGGUCUUUUGACUUGCCUAGAAUUCUGAACACGUUAAACUGCCCUUGGGUGUAUUAGGUGUAUUGUGUACAAAGUUAUGAAUUGUUUGACUUCAGUAGUGCUCUCUUGAUAACUGGCUGCCCAUUAAACUGUGAAAUGCUUUGUGAGUUAAUGAAAUCACAAAAUUGUAGGGGUUGGAUGGGACCUCUAGAGAUCAUCGAGUCCAGCCCCCACUGCAAAGCAGGCUCCCUACAGCAGGCUGCAUAGGUAGGCGUCCAGAUGGGUCUUGAAUAUCUUCAGAGAAGGAGAAUCCACAACCUCCCAGGGCAGCCUGUUCCAGUGCUCUGUCACCCUCACUGUGAAGAAGUUCCUUCACAUAUCGGUGCAGAACUUCCUAUGCUCCAGUUUAUGGCCACUUCCCCUUUUCUUGUCCCCACAGACUGCUGAAAAGAGGUUGGCUGUGUCCCUUUGUCUCCCAGGUGCAUUACUUCAGUUCUUGUGUUCAUUCUUUUUUUUUAUUAUGAGUAGCAUCCGAAACUUUAAUAACAAAUAAAUAGCUGUUUUAAUGUGCUCCUAUAGACAGAUGAAAUUACUCUCCUUUUGACCAAUAUAGUAGAGCAACAGUAAGACCUAGUGAUUAAUUACUAUCAGAAGAAAUUUAGCAUAGCUAUCUGUCGAUGUAUCUUGGAAUGUUUGGCUUCUGAAUGUGGACUCUCUGUUCCUGGUUCUUUACUGUGUAAGUGGAGGAUCUCUAUUUGUGUGUAUAAUUAGCUUCCUGUUUUGCCUCCUGCUUCAUGACAAGUAUUGCUGUCUAUUUUAUUUUCUUUAGCUUUUCAAAUGUUGCAAAGUACUGAAUAUGUGUAUCCGAUAAUUCUCAAUAGCUUUGUUUCUAUAGCGAUAAGAGCACAAUUCCAAGAAUUCCCAUAUCCAGUGGAACUUGUGUGUGCUUAUUUGCUAUCAUUUUCAAAAUGAAUGGUGAACUUAAAGAAUUCAACAGAAAAACAAACUAUUCACCUGCACUUCUGGGGAGAAAAGAAAGAAGCAGUAUGAAGAAUUCUGGAUGCUGCAGGUGACAGCUGAAAUUCCACUUCGGUUAUCCUUUUUUCGUUUUUUUCUGAGUGUAAAAGAAAAGUUAGAUGUCUUAAUUCUGCAAGGGAAGUACACCAAUGAGUAUUCUGAAUGCUAGUCAUCCUCCACCCACAACUAGUACUACUGCCUAACCAUAAGGAUAGAUUGGUUGACGUAGAGUCUAAUUCUUUUCCCAUCUUCCUUAUCUAAGAGAGACUUUUUUUAGAAACUUAAAUAAAACAGUAUAAAUGAUUCUCUUACUCAUAUAUAUAUAUAUAUACACAUACACACACUUACAUACACUAUGGAAUAUAAUUCAGACUUUUUCAUGUUAAAUGUUUCAUCUUAAGUUCAGCGUUGGAGGGAUAAUAGGAGAAAGACGAUUAUAUUCACAGCCAGUAGUGAGCUAUAAAACCAUCAGUGAUUUGCCAUUUGUAUUAAAAAUAAUGUAGGGCUCUUGUGUUGAUUUUUGUGUUGUGUUACUUAUAUCUUCCUAAGUACAGAAUUGAAGCAUGAUUGUGUACCUCCUAUAAACUUGUGUAAGAUAGAAGCAGGAGAAUACAUCUUCAGGUACACUUUCCUCAUGUUUAUUACUUUCCUCAAGGUAGUAUUUACAGACAUUGCCUUAUGUGCUUAUGGAAGUUGUAGCAUGUAACUGAAAUUGGGCAUUAAACACACACACACGUGUGUGUGUGUAUAUAUAUAUAUAUAUAUAUAUACUUACGCAGUUUUGUGGAAGUCAAAGCACAAGCAAUGUUCUGGGUUGAUGUAAUACCUGAAGUAUUUUUUUAUAAUACAAUUAUUAGGAAUUUUACAAAAUUAGAUAUAAUUUAGCUACUAAUUGCCACAAGAUGAACAAGUCGUACUGCUGGCAGGUGGCAUGGGGAAUUGUAAUAAAUCUUCUGCACUUUUAGAGCAGUGAGGCUGUCCUGAUAUACAGGCAAUUAUCUUUAGGAGGUAUUUGAACUAACUUGUGCUGCAUUACUGCUUUUUAGGGGCUGCUGAAUUGGGUAAAUCUCAGUGCCUUGUUUUGUGUUAGAAGAUUACUGCUUCCUUACGGUAUUUUCUUCUACUAAGUCACAUG
rnacentral:lncRNA from 1 species